GAAAUGCGAUAACUAAUGUGAAUUGCAAACGUACGUGAAUCAUCGAGUCUUUGAAUGCACCUUGCGCCCUUUCGGCCAUUCCGAAGGGCAUGCCUGUUCUAUACUCAUUUUCAUAACACUCAAGUCUUUGGAUGUAGCCUUUAUGGUGUUUCAAAGCCUUGGAUCUGGAGAGUAUCUGACUACGUACGCAUUUGUGUAAUACGUCAGCUCUCUGAAAUGUAUGGGUCCGUUUUGCCCACUUACCAGUGAAUAACGUGAUGGAGAUUAUUCUUUUUAUCGAUUUUCCUGGUUUGCGGUUACAUAGGCUCCCUUAAAACCCCUAAAUAUUGGCCAAUUAAAAGCCACUCCAUAUGGGAUAGAAUCAGGCAGGACUACCCGCUGAACUUAA
rnacentral:misc_RNA from 1 species